rnacentral:rRNA from 1 species
CAGCCGCCGCGGUAAUACGUAGGGUGCAAGCGUUAAUCGGAAUUACUGGGCGUAAAGCGUGCGCAGGCGGUUAUAUAAGACAGAUGUGAAAUCCCCGGGCUCAACCUGGGAACUGCAUUUGUGACUGCAAGGCUAGAGUACGGCAGAGGGGGAUGGAAUUCCGCGUGUAGCAGUGAAAUGCGUAGAUAUGCGGAGGAACACCGAUGGCGAAGGCAAUCCCCUGGGCCUGUACUGACGCUCAUGCACGAAAGCGUGGGGAGCAAACAUGAUUAGAUACCCCUGUAGUCCCUGUCUCUUAUAC